GAUGGACGCUGGCUACAGGCUUAACACAUGCAAGUCGAGGGGAAACGCCGGGGAAGCUUGCUUCCCCGGGCGUCGACCGGCGCACGGGUGAGUAACGCGUAUCCAACCUGCCUCUGACUGAGGGAUAACCCGUCGAAAGUCGGCCUAAUACCUCAUGGCAUCGUCUGCGGGCAUCCAACGACGAUUAAAGAUUUCAUCGGUCAGAGAUGGGGAUGCGUCUGAUUAGCUUGUUGGCGGGGUAACGGCCCACCAAGGCGACGAUCAGUAGGGGUUCUGAGAGGAAGGUCCCCCACAUUGGAACUGAGACACGGUCCAAACUCCUACGGGAGGCAGCAGUGAGGAAUAUUGGUCAAUGGGCGAGAGCCUGAACCAGCCAAGUAGCGUGCAGGAUGACGGCCCUAUGGGUUGUAAACUGCUUUUAUGCGGGGAUAAAGUGAGGGACGUGUCCUUCAUUGCAGGUACCGCAUGAAUAAGGACCGGCUAAUUCCGUG
rnacentral:rRNA from 1 species